rnacentral:sRNA from 1 species
UGAAAGUGUCUUUCGGAACUGGUCUUGAUUGUGGUGUGGUAACUCCAAUCUUUCCAGCUCAGAAGGCACUUUCUUCAUUUCAACACACCUGAAUCCACCGAUCGCAUCGGUGGAUUCAG